rnacentral:lncRNA from 1 species
CAGGCAAGGAGGCUCUGCCCCCAAAUUAUACUCGUAAUGAAGUCUAAUCCAUUUUUCAUUGGCGGUUCAUGUCUUUGUUUUUUCAUUGCUGUUAGCCUUGGCCAUAGUUGACUCUUAAUAAACUUGGGAUGAAUGACUGGAUGAAAGAAGGUACAGACCCAGGGGCCCUGGGCGGCUCUGCUGCUCAGCGAGGCGGUCUUGCCUUGGUCCGACCUCUCAAGCAGCUGCUUGGACUGGAAAUCGAGGCCAAAUCAUUAAUUUCUUUGUCUGUCUCAAGUUGCUCUCCUGGAAGCUUUACUAUUUUACCUUUUGCAUUUACGUCCACAAUCCACCUUGAAUGGACUGUGGUGCAUUUUUGUGUAAGCUGCUGUGUGUGCAGGUACCCCCUGUCCCAACUGUGUUGCUGGGUGAGAAUCAGAACGUUAAGAACUGGGGCAAAUGCUGGUGUUCUGACAACUGCCAAUGCUGAGAUUAAUAAACCACCCUUCCUCUUGGAUCCAGAAGAUGCAUGUCUCCUCCCGGCCCCCAUGAAACCAGCUGGCUCACUCAGUAACUUGGAAAUAGGAUAAUACCUUAGAUUCUUCACAGUUCUUGACACUUGUGUGCAAAAAAACUGUUUAUUAUUGUAAAUCUGAGUUUGGAGUUCCCACUGGGGUGCAAUGGGAUUGGCAGCAUCUCUGAAACCCGGGGGCAUGGGUUCAAUUCCCUUCCUGGCACAAUGGGUUAAGAAUCUGGCAUUGCUUGCAGCUGUAGUGUAGGUUGAAACUGCAGCUCAGAUCUGAUUGCUGGCUCGGGAGCUCCAUAUGCCUCGGGGCAGCCAAAAAAGAACAAAUAUUUUUAAAAAUAUUAAAUAAAUAAGAUAAAUCUGAGUUUGGGGGUGGUCAGCUAUAGAUGACAGUGAACUCCCAGAUGGGUUGCUUCAUUACUGUAACUGGGUCAACCUGGUCAAAGGCUGGGGCUAUUUUCUUUUCUUUUUCUUUUUAGGGCCGCACCCUCAGCAUAUGGAGGUUCCCAGCCUAGGGGUCGAAAUGGAGCUACAGCUGCCAGCCUACACCACCGCCACAGCAACACAGGAUCUGAGCCAUGUCCGUGAUCUACACCACAGCUCAUGGCAAUGCUGGAUCCUUAACCCACUGAGCGAGGCCAGGGAUUGAACCUGUGUCCUCAUGGAUACUAGUCAGGUUUGUUUCUGCUGAGCCAUGACUAGAAGUGCUGGGGCCAUUUUCAAGAUCCUGACACAUGUUGCUAAUUUACUUUCCAAAAAGGUGGUUCCAAUGUAUACUCUCACCCCACCCCCAGUGAUAUGUGAGCAGAUUUUUCCUACUGAAGUGCUAAGGUCCUCUGUCCUUUUCCCCCUGCAUGUCUCCUCUCGAGUAACUUAUGCCUUUGUGCUGGUUUUCUUGGUUUUGCUUUGUUCUCCUGUUGGCAAGAGACCCAGGAAAUGGGGCAGAGCCAGGUGAGUCUGCGAAGGCAGCCUGCUCAGUGAGACCAUGAACUGUGGGAGAGUCUGUUGCCAGGAGUAACAGAAGCCCCUGCCAGGUCCUGAGGGGACCCCAGUGAACCCAUGGCCUGGGAAGACCAGCCCCAGCUCUCCACAGUAAACUGCAUCUCAUGACCUGUUCUCUGAGUCCUCUGCAGUGCAGACUUGGUGGAAAGUGCUGGAGGAAAUGGCAGGCUUGCCAGAGUUGGCCCCAAGGCCACCACUUAAUCACUUACUUCAAACAGGACUGUGCUGUGACUGUGCCCCUGUGGCAGGAGGGAGCCGGCCACUGCUCUGGGCGGAACUUCAAUCCCCGGAGGACGUGUCUGCGCCUCUCUCCUCACCUCUCCCCACACAUUCAAACCUACCUGCCCCCCCCAGACAAAGAAGCCACCAGAGGCUUGGCCCACAUGGGCUCUCGAGGACCAGGACAGAAGCCAAGGAAACCCUUGGGAGCCAAGGGGGUUUGUGCAGAGGCUGGUGUUGAUGCACAUGAACCUGCAACAUCCAUGAAACCACUCUUUCCAGGUUGGAGUGGUUGCACUGAAGCUGCAGCAGCACCUGUCAUCUUGGGUUUAGAAAACUCAGGGAAGAGAUCAGUAAGCUUACUCUGGAAAAGGCCAGACAGUAAAUGUUUCGGGCUUGUGGGCCAUGUUGUCUCUGUUGUAACCAUGGAACUCUGCCCCUGCGGUGUGAAAGGAGCCUUAGACAACACACAGACCAAUAAAAUCCCAUUGUGGCUCAGUGAUAACGACCCAACUGGUAUCCAUGAGGACUGGGGAUCGAUCCCUAGCCUCGCUCAGUGGGUUAAGGAUCUGGCAUUGCCAUGAGCUGUGGUGUAGGUCUCAGAUGUUGCUCGGAUCCCAUGGUACAGUGGCUGUGGUGUGGGCUAGCAGCUGCAGCUCUGAUUCAACCCCUAGUCUGGGAACUUCCAUAUGCGGCAGGUGUGGCCCUUAAAAAAGACACACGCACAAAAUGCCACUUACAAAAUCUGCUGACUCCUGACUCAGGAGAUGGUGGUCCAAAAAACAGGACUAAACCUUGCCCUCAGCUGCUCAGGUGGAAAAUAUUUUGUUAUGUCUUCAUUUAUCAGACACUUAAAUAUUCUCACAAUGUCCCGGACAUCUGGAAGAGUUUUAUAAAUAUUGGUGCACUUAAUUAUUGCCAUGUCCCUACAAGGCAUGUGCUAUUAUUCUCCCUGGUUUGGUACAGAGAGGUCAGGUAACUUGCCCAAGGUCAUACAGUGGUACGUGAGAGCCUUGGGACUUGGAUGCACACAGCUUGUACUCUUCGCCAUCACCCUGUGCUGUGGAAAGGCAGGAUGGCCUUCAUGGAAGGAACAUCCAUUGGGCACCUUGCUCUGUGCUAGCCUGGGGCGGGGAGGGGAACAGGGACAGAGAUGACAAAGACCCAGUCCUGAAAUGAAACAGAAACCUAUGGGGCCUUCCCAGGACAGACCCCCCCCACCCCCGUGCCCUCCACCUGCCUCUUGUCUGUAGAGAAACAUUAGCCAAAGAAUAAAAUUAAUCAGAGAAAUGAGAAAACACAGAAACAAAGGAAAGCAGUCAAACGGGACAAACUAAUAAUAGCUUAGUCAUUGAACAAAGUCAAGGACUUUUCAUUCCUCCUCAAGGACUAUAGGUAAUAUUCUAAGCCACAGCCUGGGCGCUGUUUUGCAGACACUGAAACCCCCACCAGGUGGAAGAAGUUAGUACAUGAUGAUCAGACUGUAACCAUGACAUCAGCUGUCACGGUUCUGAGAAUUGGCCUCAAAGAAAUGGGAACAAACUGACCUUGGAACUGAGGACUAACUGUACUUAAAACAAUCAAGAUGAUGCUGAUCAGACCGCUGAAUGCCCAAUUUUGAGAUAACUGUCAGAGCUGAUGGUGCUGUUUCUGCACGUGGCCCCCUCCCUCCACUUAUCCACCCCUGAAGCUCCCCUUUAAAAGCUCUUCCCCCGAUUGUCAGUGAGGGAGUUGGCCUUUGGACAUGAGUCCAUCUUCUCCCCGAGUUGCUGGACUUUGACGUAAAGCCAACUUUCCCUUCCUGUGAACACUUGCCCUUGUCUUGAGUGGUGAGCAGCGGACCUGAGUUCAGUAACGGUCUCACCCUCACGGAGCUCCAGCCCUUCAGGGACAGACUAGUGUAGACUCACAGUGGGUGUCACCCCAGAAAAACAUGGGAUGCAGAAUGACUCCGCUCACAUGAACGUCAAGAACUAACAAAACUCCCCUAUGGGGAUAAAGGUCAGAAAAGCAGUGACCGAGGAGGGCACGAGGGACCUGCAGUACUGGAAAUGCUGGUGUCUUCAGGUAGGUACCUUGUGUACCUAGGUAAAAAGUCAUCAAGCUGACCCAAUAAAAUACACACAUUCAAAGAAAAAAGAGCCUGGUGGAAUUCGAUGGAAGCUGGCAGAUGGUGAAGCAGCUGCUCUCUGAGGCCACACCUGAGAGGUCAUCACAGCAGCCCAUCCCGGUACUGAAGGGCUCUCAGCCCCAGUCUCACUCCUCGGGGUUCUAUGGGGAAGAAGUGGUGUCAUGGUUGAUGGUAUGAUGGACUAUGAACCAGUGCAAUUGGGAACAACACUGAUGGCAUCAUCUGGCAGGAGGAUGCCUGGGGGUGGCAUCAGACCAGACUCAAGACCUUUCUCAAGACCAAAUCCCUUGGGGAUGGGCUGGGAUACUUAAUACGACACCUGGUCAGAGAUAUGGGAUCCACAACUUGGUCUUGCUGGUGACCCUGGGUUUUUUUGUUUGUUUGUUUUUUAGGGCUGCACUUGCAGCAUAUGUUAAGUUCCCAGGCCAGGGGUUGAAUGGGAGCUGCAGCUGCCAGCCACAGCCACAGCCAUAACAACAUAGGAUAUGAACCGCAUCUGCAACCUACACCACAACUCAUGGCAAUGCUGGAUCCUUAACCCACUGAGUGAGGCCGGGGAUCAAACCUGCAUCCUCAUGGAUACUAGUUGGGUUAGUUACCACUGAGCCACAACAGGACUGACCCAUCAGCCAGGACUUGAGCCUGGAGACUGUGUCCCUGACCUUGCUGACGGCCCUGUGAGGAGGCUCAAACUGUAAACUCCUCGAAGACAAGAGUCCUCUUGGGAAUCCUGGUGCCCUGCACAGGGCUAGAGACUUGGGACGUGAUCAGCCCAAACCCUGGCACUGAAGACUGCCUUCCAAACUUCGCUCUGGGCACCCCACGCUCUGAAGGAAGACUCUGCACUCACCGUUCCCAGCUCAGAGGCUGCAGUUGCUCACAUCUCCCUGACUGGACAGGCUGUCUCACCUCACACCUCAGGUUCUCAGCCUGAAGACCCCAAGAAAGGCCACCUGGAGGUGCAGAUUUAUUUCCUGUCCCUCCACUUCAGUGAUGGGUCAGAGAUGAGGUUAGAGACAUCCUCAGCCCUCUCACAUCCUUACCUAAUUGGCGAAGAU